CGUCGGUACGGAUAAAUAAAAGCACAACUAAUCAAAGUGAGACCAGCUCGACUCGGAUAUCGAAGAAAAGUAGAUUUGUGUGUAACCAACUCCAGCUCCGGGAAUCCAUCGAUGAAUUUUGAAGAGUAAAACGUAAUCGAAUGAAUCCAUGCCGGCCAUGCCAAUGAUAGAGUACGACAUAUGAGCUCAGACCCUUAUGUGAGCUUACCUGCGCUAGCCUCCCCGCACGU